rnacentral:rRNA from 1 species
CAGUAGCCACGGUAAUACGUAGGGUGCGAGCGUUAAUCGGAAUUACUGGGCGUAAAGCGUGCGCAGGCGGUUAUAUAAGACAGAUGUGAAAUCCCCGGGCUCAACCUGGGACCUGCAUUUGUGACUGUAUAGCUAGAGUACGGUAGAGGGGGAUGGAAUUCCGCGUGUAGCAGUGAAAUGCGUAGACAUGCGGAGGAACACCAAUGGCGAAGGCAAUCCCCUGGACCUGUACUGACGCUCAUGCACGAAAGCGUGGGGAGCAAACAGGAUUAGAUACCCGCGUAGUCCCUGUCUCUUAUAC